UACGAAGGGGGCGAGCGUUGUUCGGAUUUACUGGGCGUAAAGGGCGCGCAGGCGGCAGAUCAAGUCAGACGUGAAAGCCCCGGGCUUAACCUGGGAACUGCGUUUGGGACUGGUUUGCUAGAGAUCGGGAGAGGAGAGUGGAAUUCCCAGUGUAGAGGUGAAAUUCGUAGAUAUUGGGAAGAACACCGGUGGCGAAGGCGGCUCACUGGCUCGUAACUGACGCUCAUGCACGACAGCGUGGGGAUCAAACAGG
rnacentral:rRNA from 1 species